GGUGGCUCAGUGGUACAGGGCUUGCCUUGCAUGCAAGAAGCCCUGGGUUCGAUUCCUCAGCACCA
rnacentral:tRNA from 1 species